AUUGCACGCUGGCGGCAGGCCUAACACAUGCAAGUCGAGCGGAGCGGCGGACGGGUGAGUAAUGCCUAGGAAUCUGCCUGGUAGUGGGGGAUAACGUCCGGAAACGGGCGCUAAUACCGCAUACUAUCAGAUGAGCCUAGGUCGGAUUAGCUAGUGGGUGGGGUAAAGGCCUACAAAGGCGACGAUCCGUAACUGGUCUGAGAGGAUGAUCAGUCACACUGGAGCUAAGAAACGGUCCAGACUCCUACGGGAGGCAGCAUUGGGGAAGAGUGGACAAUGGGCGAAAGCCUGAGCAAGCCAAGCCGCGUGUGUGAAGAAGGUCUUCGGAUUGUAAAGAACUUUAAGGUGGUAUGCGUUACCGACAGAAUAAUCACCGGCUAACUUCGUGCCGGCAGCCGCGGUAAUAC
rnacentral:rRNA from 1 species